rnacentral:rRNA from 1 species
AGCGAACGCUGGCGGCAGGCUUAACACAUGCAAGUCGAACGGUCCUUCGGGAUAGUGGCGGACGGGUGAGUAACACGUGGGAACGUACCCUUAGGUUCGGAACAACACAGGGAAACUUGUGCUAAUACCGGAUAAGCCCUUCGGGGGAAAGAUUUAUCGCCUUUGGAGCGGCCCGCGUCUGAUUAGCUUGUUGGUGAGGUAAUGGCUCACCAAGGCUACGAUCAGUAGCUGGUCUGAGAGGAUGGCCAGCCACACUGGGACUGAGACACGGCCCAGACUCCUACGGGAGGCAGCAGUGGGGAAUCUUGUGCAAUGGGCGAAAGCCUGACGCAGCCAUGCCGCGUGGAUGAUGAAGGUCUUAGGAUUGUAAAAUCCUUUCACCGGGGACGAUAAUGACGGUACCCGGAGAAGAAGCCCCGGCUAACUUCGUGCCAGCCGCCGCAGUAA